rnacentral:lncRNA from 1 species
UAGCAAUAUAUAUGGUAAUGUGUUAUAAUAAGAAAGAUUGCAGCGUUUGUAUGUAUGUAUAUAUAUAUAUAUAUAUAUAUAUAUAUAUAUAUAUAUAUAUAUAUAUAUUACGUAGCAUCGAAUUAACUACACAUAAGUUUUUUUAUUUUAUUCUGAAUGUAUAAGACUUAAAUAGAGAGAAUAAAAAUUAUAUAGUCUACACACAAAAAAAAUUGCAUAUAUAUGUAUAUUUAUAUAUGCGCAUCUUGGUUUUAUUUUUUUUAUUUUUCCACUAUUCCAUUCGCCCUCAUUUUUUUUUUUUUUUUUUUUUUGGUACAUAUGUGUACUUCAAUAUAUUAAUAUUUAAAAACGUUUUUUUUAAUUUACCUUUCCUUCUGAUUGUUGGGCACAAAACUUUAUUCAAAGUAUGUAUAAUGAAUGAGUUUUUAUCCACAACUAAUGCUAUAUCAUUUGAGAACGAUGUAAAUAAAAAAAAAAAAAAAAAAUUGUUUAAUAGUGACUAUGAUGACCUAUUUAAAAAUAAUGACUUAUUUAACGGUACUGAUAAUAACAACAUUUUAAGUGAGUACCCAGAUAAUGAAAAAAGAAAUAACGAAGAGAUGAAGGAGGAGGAGUUUAGUUUUUCUAUGGGUGGUAAAAAUGAGAGUAAAAAAAAAGGUGUAAAGAAUUAUAUGAAGCGAAUAGUGUACGAUAAUGAUGAUGUUACUGGUGAGAAUAAAAAAGAAAGCGAUAAACAAGGGGAAAAAAUGAAAGGCGAAGGUAAUGAUAGCAUUAAUGAUAUUUAUAGUAACUACCUAGAAAGCUGUAAGAGUAAUGGGAGUGGCUUUAUAAGUAAAGGGUUUAUUAAAAUUAUAGGCAUGAGUUAUAAUAUUAUUAAUAACAAUAUUACUUUUGAAAAUGAGUCGAUUUUUCAACGAAUAUCCGAUAUAAUUGAAUUACGUAUUGAACAAAUAAUUGAAGAAGCAAACAAAUUUUAUGAAAAAAGAAAAAGGUUUUGCAUAAACAAGUAUAUAAAUAUAGAUGAUUUUAUCAAUUCGUGUAAUUAUUUAAAUGUAACAAUCCCUUAUAAAUACAAAAACAGCCUUCAUUAUAAUUCGAAUGAGUUAUGUGAAAGUUAUAAAAAUAACAAAAUAAUGUACAAACUGAUAUCCAAAGAUGCUUUUGAAAGUAAUAGUAAUAAUAAUCAUAGUAAUAAUAAAAUAUGCAGAAAAAAAAUAAAUAAAAACGUAUAUAAUAUACAAAAGAAAAGGAAAGUAAAAAAAAAAGGAAGCAAUUUUAAUUUGAGUGCUGCUAACAGAUUU